UGGCCUACGGGGGGCAGCAGUAGGGAAUCUUCCACAAUGGACGAAAGUCUGAUGGAGCAACGCCGCGUGAGUGAAGAAGUAUUUCGGUAUGUAAAGCUCUAUCAGCAGGGAAGAGAAUGACGGUACCUGACUAAGAAGCCCCGGCUAACUACGUGCCAGCAGCCGCGGUAAUACGUAGGAUGCGAGCGUUAUCCGGAUUUAUUGGGUUUAAAGGGUGCGUAGGCGGAAUGCCAAGUCAGCGGUAAAAUCGCGGGGCUCAACCUCGCUCCGCCGUUGAAACUGGCGUUCUUGAGUGGGCGAGAAGU
rnacentral:rRNA from 1 species